GAUGGAGUAUUGUAUGAUUGUAUAAUUGGCUCACAUGUUAUAAGAGGGGAGAAUGUGAUAAAAUCAUGUGAAGAUUAUUGACAGGGGAAUCAUAAGUUAUUUUGUUAUACUAAUUGAUGCAUCUCUAUUUCCUUCAUUAUCUCUAUUUCAAUUACUGUGAAUAACAUGCUUUUUUUGCUAAUACCCAAAGGGGGAGAAGUAUUUGAUGUAAUUGAACUGUGUAAUUGAGAUAAUUGAAAAUGUGUUUGAUUGUGGACUAUAUAACAUGGUUUUAUUAAUCAUAGUUGUGCAUCAUAAAAAAAAAAGGGAAGAUUGUUGAUAGGGGGAGCAAAAUGUUAGCUAAACCCGCUCCUUGGUGUUUGCUUUUGAUGAUGACAACACAUAGUUAAUAAAAAC
rnacentral:lncRNA from 1 species